CUACUUAACCCUCUCUUUCCUUCCUCAAAUCUAUAAACCAAUAAUCUAUGUACAUAUAAUAUAAUAUAAUAUAUAUUUUCUAAAUAUCUAGGACCUAUAAAAUUUGUCCCCUUUCUUUCCCUUCUCAAAUCUAUCAAAAAAUCUAAAUCCCACAACAUUCGUACUAUUUCCCACCUUUCUCCAAUCUGCUACUCUUGUCAAACCUGUGUUCUAAAACAAAAAUUUAUGUUAAAAAAGAAGAAUAAAAAUGAAAAUAUAAAAAUAAAUAGUACCUCUUGUUCUACUAGAAGUAAAGACUUCUAAAUUGAGCAAGUCUGCUAAAAAUCAGAAUAACCUGCAAAAUAUUUUGAAAAUCUCACUACUUAUAAAAAUAACAUUAGUAAAAUCAUUUAAACAUAUCAAACAACAAUUUCUAAUUUCAAUAAUUACCUUUGAUGUCAAUUUCAUAGUUACAAAUGUCACUAUUGAUCUAAUUUUAAGAUGCUGAAUCUCCGAUAUAUCACCCAUCUUCUGCUUACAUAGUUGUGAGUUGUAUACAUUACAAAAAUUCACUCGAUCUUUCCAAACCACACUUUAUGUCUUACAUUUA
rnacentral:lncRNA from 1 species